GACAUAGAUCGAUAGUAAUAAAAAUGAAUCAUGCUUCUAGGUUGCCAGGGGAACAUACAACAACUUAAUUAGUUUUUCAAAAGUUGCAUCACUAAAUUAAGGUAACUACAAGUCCAAUGAAGAAAUUUUUAAAACAAAUCUUUAAAAUCAUUAAAGGAGAGAACCAAUGAGAUAUUUUGGCUGACUAAUUAUAAGACCUAAUUAUAUUCCUAUUCCUCUUUUUCAUCUAUGUUUUCAUGCACGCAUGCCUGCCUAUACCUCCAGGAAUAAAGGCAUGCCUAGAAUAAAACUGGAGGGCUGCACUGAGAUGGACUGAAGCAGGUGUCUGGGCUACAAAGGAGACAGGCUGGACUCAGCUACUGGCAGUUAACAUUGAUGAUCAUGCAGAACUUCAUUUAAAUAAAGUUAAAGAGCCGUAUGUGGCCAGUGGCAACUAUACCGGACAGUGCAGCCUUCAUCAUUCCUAAGUGAUACUUGGCAAAUGGAUGCCUGCAAGAAGGGCAGUGGUGGUAAGAGAUUUCACUGUUUGAUUUGGAGUUCAUUCCAAGGGAAAUUCUCCAAGAGCCACAGCUCAGGCAUGGAUCCAAACAUAUAACCCAAGAAAGACCAACAAAAGGAACAAGAGAAACAGAAGCAAAAGAUAUUUCAGCCAUUCCCUGUGAGACUAAAUUAUGAAAAGCAGAUGGCUUAUUCAAACAUAUGGAUAUGACAGUGCAAGUUCUGGUGAGGACAGAAGCAUCUCAGAGAACAUUUUCUCCUUGAGAAUCCAAGAAAGGUUGUGUCUGUGGUCUGUGUUCCUUUCUACUGGGGACAGUGGAUGGAGGAAAGCAAAAACGGAGCCCUGGGAUGAUCAUGCCAUGAGACAGCAGGAAAUUGGGGCCUCCAAAUCUCUGCAGGAAGGAAAGGACUGCAGACCAAAAACAGCUAAAUUCUUAUGUCAGGGAGCAAUACAAUCUAUUGAGCUAAGCUACCAAACAUCCACCAUCAAGUGAGCAGCUCCUUCUACCAUGUGCUCCAGACAUGACGACUGCCUUGCCACAGCUCCAAAGCCAUGAGGCCAAUUGGUUAUGGACUGAAACCUCCCAAACUGUGAGCCCAAAUAAACCUUUCCUUCUUAUAAGUCAAUUAUUUCAGGUUCCUUGUCACAAUGAUGGAAAGCUGACUGACACAGGGAACAAAUGGACGCUGAAGCAAACCCCCUUUUUAUCCUAUUAAGUACUUAGGUGGAUUAGGGUAGAACUACUUUCUUACUGCAAAGUCCAGCCUCAAAUAUGAGGCUGGUCCUAGGAGGAAGAAGUGGGUGAAGUGGUGGAAUGAUUUUGAUUUACAAGAUAAACAAAGACUUGGCUAUUAGUUCAACCACUGUAGGAGAAGAAUGUCUUAGGAAGAUGUAAGGAGAGCACACCCUGAGCUAAUAAUCAGUUUCUUUCCAUGUUUCCUCUUUUAAUUAAUAAAAAUCAACAAAUCCAUAUAAAUCAACACCUUUUGCUUGAGUAUCACAGAGAACUGAUAAUGCAUUUUGAUGUUUGCCCAUGCAGAGGUGCACUUUCAAAGUCAACAAAAACUUAUGAAUACAAAAGCCCAAAGAAGGACAAAGGGACUUUAUAAACCAAGGCAGACAACUUCUGAUAUAUUAAUAAAAAUCAUGGUAAUUUACAUCUUUCGAGGCUCACUUUUUGCUGGACAUUGUUUUAUGUGCUUUUCAUCCAUAUAACACACAAUCUUACUCAAAACACAAUGACACAUGAUGCACAGACUAUUAAUAUCUCUACUGUGUAGAUUAAGAAACCAAGUCUUACAAGUAACUAUUAACACUCAGCUAAAUUUCAGAUCAGGAGAUGGGUCAUUUUUAAAGAAAAGUAUUUUCAAAGCAUAUUUAUUCUCAACGCAAGUUGCAUGGGAUAUUUCAUCUUUUAAUUAAAAACUGGAGGGUAUUUUACUUUUAGUUUCAUUCAUAUAUUGGAAAAUAAUACAAGGUGGUUCGACAGGUACC